rnacentral:lncRNA from 1 species
GAUUCCCUAGUUACUAUCUCUAAGCACUGAAGUCGGUGUUUGGAGAAAAGGACUCAGGCUUAUCAAAGUUUUGGCUUUGUUGCAAGAGCAGGUCAAGAUUUAGCUGUUCUUCAGUGAACAAGUGUGCAGAUUGUCAAAUAUGUCAGUUCAUCAAAUAAGAAAACAUGCAGUUCUCCCACCUAUCAUUUGUAGAAGUGACAAGGAAUUUUUGGAAAGUGUGCAAAGAUACAUAAUUACAGAAACUGAAAGACUGGGCUGUAGUGAGGAAGGACCUGCUGAUGAAUAUUACAUCAUAUACCGAAAUGUUUUUGAUAAGGCACCCACCGUUUCUGUUUUCUUCUGUUAUCCUUCCAGAGAUUUUCUAUGCCUAAACACCAUUUGAAGCCAUGAAUGUAUAGUGAUGAGGGGUUUUUUACAGUUGCACAUGACUGGGAAUAGAAAUGCAAUUAGAUAUUGAGAAUAUUGAUGAGCCAAUAGGAGCUGAUGGGUUAGAAAAAUAAGGAGGUGAAGAGAAUCCAGGAUUUUAAGGUUUAAGUGAAGUUAGAGACUAGAUUUGGAGCGAGUAAGAGAAG